UUGUCUAGAUGUCUUAACAAGUCAUUGGUCC
rnacentral:piRNA from 1 species